ACCUGGAGCAGUGGGCAGCCAUUGCUGCAGCACCUGGAGAGUAACUGAAGUUCAGUGCAUUGCUCAAGGGCAACUCAGUCAUGGAAAUUGAAUGCGGAGAGAGCGCUGUUCAUUCACUUUCCCCACCCACUAAAACAGAGAGAAAAACACAAUGUCAUAGAGUAAUUAAAGCAGGAAGUUCCUGUGUGUGCUUAUGACUGAUCUGCAGUGACUCAACAGAGAACUGAACAGAUCUGACUGAACAUGGACAGAUGCUUCAUACUGAUUCUUAUUGUGGGAACAGGUUUGGUGACUGGAGACAGCAUUGAGCCAGAUGAAUGGAGAGAAAAAACGUAUCAAGAAAGAGAAACUGUCAAGCUGAGCUGCACAUAUAGUGCAAACAGUGAAUAUGUUUAUCUGUACUGGUACAGACAGUAUCCCAACAGAGAACCUAAGUAUUUAUUACGUAAAGGUGGACGGUCAUAUAGUUAUGCACACACCUCUGAUAAUCGGUUUCAGUCGAUUACAUCACGUACAUCCACUGAACUCACUAUCACUGUCGUACAUCUGUCAGAUUCAGCUCUCUAUUAUUGUGCUCUAAGAGUAGCAGCCCAGUGAUACAAAAUAUGAGACAUGUCAUAC